AACAAUAAUUGUUCAUAUAUCAUCAAUGGGUAUCGAAUCUUUUAUACUAUUACUGGGAGACUUUUAUUGAGAACAUUUCGUAAAAUCCGAGAUCCGGAAGUACUUUUUUAGUGCUGCUGACGAGACGCUGAACAUGUGAUGAGUUUGAACAUCAACUGCCACCGAACAGUAAAAAACAAGUUGGAACCAACAUGCAGUACCUCCAGCAGGAAGAAAGACAAUAACCAUUUGCCAGCUCAAAGACAAGCUACACUAUUCACAGCCCUGUGUAAUGUUCGACCAGGCUAACACGGUCAAGAGACACAGACUAUCCGGGUUGAUAUUCAGCAUAGUAGUGGUGCCAGUGGUAACUACUCACCCUCAACAUGGAUGACCCCCACAAGGUCUACCGCUGGUUUUUCCCUUUCUUCCUGGUCUCCUAUCUUCCCCUGCUCUGGCGGAUGGACCCCACCUCCAGGGCGAGAGAUGACCCACUGAACCUACCAGGACAAUGAUACACUCACCUUCAACCUGCCAGCUGUGUGUGUGUUUGUACUGUACGUCACAGAGCUGUGCUUAACUUGCUUGAAGGUAACUGCUAAAUUGACGUUAUAUCCUUUAAAUGACACACAAUUACAAUAAACACAAGUUAUUGUCCCCCAUGUAAACCAACCAGUGACGCCAAGAGCUUUUGUUUUUACCUAGAAAUUACAUUCCACUGUAUGUGUAGGCCGUCAUUGUUCUUAACCGACUUGCAUAGUUAAAUAAAGGUUAAAUCAAAAUCAAAAAUACAAAUUAAUAAAGUAAAAUCAACUUGCAGUAAUUAAAAUUUACCAGUAGAGGGAGGCAGACACUCUUGCAAGAUUAGAUCCUUGACUGUCAUUGUCCACUUCCUCCUUUCAUAUUGGUCUAAUGGUAUUAUUUCCAGAACCUGUUCAGCACUUUGAACAUGUCUGGUCAGGGUUUCCUUACAAUGGAGUGGGCGGCAGGUAGCCUAGCAGUUAAGCGAGAUGGGCCAGUAACCAAAAGGUCUCUGGUUUGAAUCUCCAAACUGACUAGGUGAUUUUUUGUUGUUGUCAAUGUGUAAGCACUUAAUCAUAAUUGCUUCCGUAAGUCUCGCUGGAUAAGUGUGUGAUGUAAAUAAGUGUAUGCAUCCCUAUUCUUCUCUUCUGCCGUUCUAUUCAAACUGAUCCCGGUAAUCCUUCUGUAUGAGAUGCUCGUUUGCAUAAAUCUGAAUCAGGCAAGAGCUACAGCUGCUUCUCAUUGGCCAUUUAACAGCGAGGAGCACUCUCUAAGAAGCAUAACCACUACUCUGACAUCACCACACUGAGCAGGUACAGUGCCUUCAGAAAGAAUUCGCACC